AAAUUUCCCAAGGCAGAGCGAAAACCUUUCCUGAGCGACUGAGCAUGCCCGGUGGUGAAAGGGUAUGUGGUUUAAACUCUCCACGGACUGACAAAAUCAGGUUUCUGACUCUGCAAAGCUAAGAAGACUCUGCUCCUGGAAGGCCUCUCCACUGACAGACUGAGUCAUAUUCGAAAUAUUUACCAACAGACUGAACAACUGAACAGAACAGACAACGUGCCUGGCUGUUACGCUGUCUAGGUGAAGGGAAACCAAAUGACCAGCUCAAGGACCCAUGCUAGGUGGAACCACGAGGAGCACAGGACCCAGACCACAUGACUUCCAGCUUGCUGCAUUCCUCUUUGUCCAGUCAAAGCCUCCUUAGCUGUGGGCAGGCUGCUGGUCGUCGGAGAAGCUGCCUGCAGAGAUGCUGGGACACGCUUUUUAUAAACCAGGAAUCCAGGACAAAGGUAGAAAAUCCUUUGUGUCUCACUGAGCUGGAAGUUCACAAAUAAUCAGUUGUCUUGUCUGCAUGGAAGCAAAGGACAUCCCCAUUGUACAGAUGAAGAAAGUGAG